rnacentral:lncRNA from 14 species
GCAGAAUAAAUUGUCAGGAGCUCCACAACAUGUUGGAUAUACCACUCCUUUCAAAAGCUGAACCACCAACUCUGCUUGUGAGAAAACAACUCCUGGCAACUUUUGCCAUACCAGAUAAAAAGCAGUGUUAGCUUCUGUAUUUUGGAAGCUCUGAAAUACUGAGAAUGAAGUCCUGGGAUACUUGGUUAUUUCUACUGCAGCUGAUACAGCACCAAAUUUAACAUAAGAAGAUUUUUUAAAGAAGAGGUUUUAUUUUGUGAUAGCAGUUGUAUAAGGAAGCAGUAACAAAUUUUCACCACUUCUAGUUUUAUUUUCCCAUGUGAAUUAAUGUGUUUCCAAAUCAAUGAUGGAUUAUCCAGUUAUCAAAGGUUUAAACAUAAACCAAACCAUUCUGAAAUUGGGACAUCUCAGGACUAAGUCCAGAACGCUGCAGGAAGUGUAUGUUUGCCUAAAUGAUUUAUAACAUCAGGAAGCUGAGGUACUGUGGACGAGAUCUGGCCUUUGCAGUGUGUGACCUGAUGGAACCUUCAAGUUGCAGAUGGCAGCCAAAAAAGUCUCAUGUACUUCAGAGAGAAGCUAACUGUAUAUCCCUGCAUAAUGAAUAAACAAACAUCAAAUUCUACAUUUUGCUGCAUAUUACCAGGUGCAGGUUACCGAUGUACAUUGAGUAUACAUAUACACAUCCAUACGUACAAGUUCUAAAGCGUGAAAUUGUUGUUGUGCUGUUACAAAGCACAUAAUUUAUAGGGAUUUGUUGUGUCAGUGAAAACAAUUUGAUAACCUGAAAGACCCAAAUAUUCCCAAAAUAUAAAUAUAUCAUAAAAACUUUUCAUUUCAAAAAAGUAUGCUAUCCCAUUCUCACUACUGCCAGGGAAAUGUAAUAACGUGGGAGAAAUAAAAGUUUCAUUGCACACA